CAGAAAUAUCUUGAAGCUCUUGAUAAGCAAGACAAGGCAAAGGCAGUUGAGAUUCUUGUGAGUGAUUUGAAAGUGUUCUCUACAUUCAAUGAGGACCUUUACAAAGAGAUCACUCAACUCUUGACGCUUACCAAUUUCAGAGAGAACGAGCAGCUUUCGAAGUAUGGUGACACCAAGACAGCGCGUAGCAUAAUGUUGAUAGAGCUG
rnacentral:misc_RNA from 1 species